rnacentral:rRNA from 1 species
GACGAACGCUGGCGGCGUGCUUAACACAUGCAAGUCGAACGGAAAGGCCCUGCUUUUGUGGGGUGCUCGAGUGGCGAACGGGUGAGUAACACGUGAGUAACCUGCCCUUGACUUUGGGAUAACUUCAGGAAACUGGGGCUAAUACCGGAUAGGAGCUCCUGCUGCAUGGUGGGGGUUGGAAAGUUUCGGCGGUUGGGGAUGGACUCACGGCUUAUCAGCUUGUUGGUGGGGUAGUGGCUUACCAAGGCUUUGACGGGUAGCCGGCCUGAGAGGGUGACCGGCCACAUUGGGACUGAGAUACGGCCCAGACUCCUACGGGAGGCAGCAGUGGGGAAUAUUGCACAAUGGGCGGAAGCCUGAUGCAGCAACGCCGCGUGCGGGAUGACGGCCUUCGGGUUGUAAACCGCUUUCGCCUGUGACGAAGCGUGGGUGACGGUAAUGGGUAAAGAAGCACCGGCUAACUACGUG